rnacentral:rRNA from 1 species
AGGACGAACGCUGGCGGCGUGCUUAACACAUGCAAGUCGAGCGGUGAUCCUCCUUCGAGGGGUGAUCAGCGGCGAACGGGUGAGUAACACGUGGGCAACCUGCCCCUCACACUGGGAUAACCUCGGGAAACCGGGGCUAAUACCGGAUACGACCUCGAGCGGCAUCUCUUGAGGUGGAAAGCUCCGACGGUGAGGGAUGGGCCCGCGGCCUAUCAGCUUGUUGGUGGGGUAAUGGCCUACCAAGGCGACGACGGGUA